rnacentral:lncRNA from 1 species
CUCUCUCAAUUAUUAGGCUGGGUUGUAGAGAUUUUUCUUCAGGAUUUUGGAGUAUUUUAGUUUAACGAAGCUUUAGGCAUUUAGUCUUGGCAAAUAGAAGUGCAUGGUAUAGGCUAAUUCGUUGCAAUGAUGCUUGUCGGUCAAAUUGUCCAGUUAACUGUUUAUCCCCUGAGAAACUGUCCAGGUGAUUUCUUCUCACUAUAUUAUAUACUUCAAUAUGUAUCCUCUGUAUGAUAGAAUAUAAUUACCGUGUAAAAAGGGGUGGACCAGAUUUAUGUUGUAGGCCAUUAUGUGUACGCAUUGUAUAUGUAUUAGUGGUAUAUUAUAUCUUGAGGGAGCUCACUAACCCUUGGCUUAGAGUUAUUGAAUAAUUGUUUUUCAGGUUCUUCUUCGGAUCGAGGAAAGGCUCCCCAUAACUGUACUUACAGCAAUGAUAAUAUUUUAAAACUUAUGCUAGAACUCUCUUUUGUAAAUAAAUGUAAUAUAAUGGUUUGUAAGACUUAUGUUUUAAUGAAAUAAAAGUGAAAAAAAUUGCCUUCAAAUUUGGGACAUUACAUGGAGGUUUUCUUGUUUACUUUUUCAUGAGGUGUAAAACCCCAUUUCACUUGUGGACUGUAAAAUGUAAAGAUGUUGGGCUUCAAGAAAAUAAACUUUAGACCUUAUUGAAGGUUGCGAAUAUUGGUUAAGAGAUCUAAGCCCUUAAUUUGUGUGAUGAAACCAAAUGGGUAAAAUGGGAAAAGUUAUAUGUCGGGCUUCUUGCAUGGAUUAUGGUUUUAGUUCGACAUUUAAUAAGCUAAAAGUAACU